rnacentral:lncRNA from 1 species
UAAAUUAAUUAUAAUAUAAAUAAAAAGUAAUUAUGAAUAUGAGUUGGAGUGCUUUAUUUUAAUUUUUUAAAAAAUAAAUUUUAAAUGUCAUUCCUGUUGUUUCGCACUUUCUCGCUUUAGUAUACUAUACUUUAAAGUAUAUCAAUUUAACACAUUGUGAUUUUAUUUUCUCUUUUUCUCAGCUUCUCCGUUAACAUUUAGUUAAAUUAUAUAAAAAAAUUUCAAACACACCGUCUAAAUCUAUCGAAUAUUUAUUUUAGUAUUUUUUUUAAUUUUAACUUUGUCACUGAUUGAACGAAAAAAAUUAAUGAAGAGGAUAAUAAAAAGAGAAAAAUAAAACCACAGGGUACUAAAUUGAUACAUUUUAAAUUCUAUGGUACUAAAAUUAAAAAAUAUGAAAUCAUGGUGGUCUUUAAAGUUUUUUUUUUAUAUUUAGGCGUGAGAAUAUUUAUAUUAAAAAAUGGAAUUUAAAAA